UCCGUAGGUGAACCUGCGGAGGGAUCAUUACACAAUAAGAAGGCGGGCUGGAUACCCCCAGCGGUGCAUCGCUUCACGGCGUGCGCAGCUGGGCCGGCCUUGCUGAAUUAUUCACCCGUGUCUUUUGCGUACUUGUUGUUUCCUGGGUGGGCUCGCCCGCCCUCAGGACAAACCAUAAACCUUUUGUAAUAGCAAUCAGCGUCAGUAACAACAUAAUAAUUACAACUUUCAACAACGGAUCUCUUGGUUCUGGCAUCGAUGAAGAACGCAGCGAAGUGCGAUAAGCAAUGCGAAUUGCAGAACCGUGAGUCAUCAGAUUUUUGAACGCAACUGGCGCCGAUUGGAACUCCAGCCGGCAUGCUUGUUUCAGUGUCUCUUUUUCUCAUCACCCAAAUCUUAAUGCGAGAGAUACCCUUCUCUUGUCAAGUACGAAAGCACUCUGAGCCCUGCGAGUGGCUUGGCUUCGGUCAAGGCCACACUCAAUGCAGCAGUCACAUUUCACAAUGUGAACUCAUUGAGAGUAGAGUCAGCGCAGUUUACUGCUAGUGGCUUAGAGGCCUUUAAACUCUUCUUGGUAUCUGGAAAUCAAGGCAGGGACCACCCGCUGAACUUAAGGCAUAUCAAUAAGGCGGGGAGGGGAAGGGUCGGACUGGGCCAA
rnacentral:rRNA from 1 species